rnacentral:rRNA from 1 species
UGGGGAAUUUUGGACAAUGGGCGAAAGCCUGAUCCAGCAAUGCCGCGUGUGUGAAGAAGGCCUUCGGGUUGUAAAGCACUUUUGUCCGGAAAGAAAUCCUUGGCUCUAAUACAGUCGGGGGAUGACGGUACCGGAAGAAUAAGCACCGGCUAACUACGUGCCAGCAGCCGCGGUAAUACGUAGGGUGCAAGCGUUAAUCGGAAUUACUGGGCGUAAAGCGUGCGCAGGCGGUUUGCUAAGACCGAUGUGAAAUCCCCGGGCUCAACCUGGGAACUGCAUUGGUGACUGGCAGGCUAGAGUAUGGCAGAGGGGGGUAGAAUUCCACGUGUAGCAGUGAAAUGCGUAGAGAUGUGGAGGAAUACCGAUGGCGAAGGCAGCCCCCUGGGCCAAUACUGACGCUCAUGCACGAAAGCGUGGGGAGCAAACAGGAUUAGAUACCCUGGUAGUCCACGCCCUAAACGAUGUCAACUAGUUGUUGGGGAUUCAUUUCCUUAGUAACGUAGCUAACGCGUGAAGUUGACCGCCUGGGGAGUACGGUCGCAAGAUU